AAAAAUUUAGUUAAUUCAUAACAUCAAUUUGUCAAAUUGAAAUAAACUAAUAUUAAUUUUUA
rnacentral:tRNA from 1 species